UGAGGAACAUGACUUUCGGCGGGGGAUAGCCGGCCCAACGGCCGGGUAAUACCGCGUACGACCACAUGGGGACAUCCCUGAUUGGUGAAAGCAGCAAUGCGCCGAUGGAGUGCCUCGCGGCCUAUCAGCUAGUUGGUGAGGUAACGGCUCACCAAGGCAACGACGGGUAGCUGGU
rnacentral:rRNA from 1 species